UGGGGAAUUUUGGACAAUGGGCGAAAGCCUGAUCCAGCCAUGCCGCGUGAGUGAAGAAGGCCUUCGGGUUGUAAAGCUCUUUUAGUCGGAAAGAAAGAGUUGCAAUGAAUAAUUGUGAUUUAUGACGGUACCGACAGAAAAGCACCGGCUAACUACGUGCCCGCAGCCGCGGUAAUACGUAGGGUGCGAGCGUUAAUCGGAAUUACUGGGCGUAAAGGGUGCGCAGGCGGUCUUGCAAGUCAGAUGUGAAAGCCCCGGGCUUAACCUGGGAAUUGCGUUUGAAACUACAAGGCUAGAGUGCAGCAGAGGGGAGUGGAAUUCCAUGUGUAGCAGUGAAAUGCGUAGAGAUGUGGAAGAACACCGAUGGCGAAGGCAGCUCCCUGGGUUGACACUGACGCUCAUGCACGAAAGCUUGGGGAGCAAACA
rnacentral:rRNA from 1 species